AUAGUGGUCCUCGCAGCUGGUUCUCCCACCUCGGCGACGGGGCGGGAGAGGCAAGAGGGAACCCGGUGCGAGUCCGGGACUGCCCCGCAGCGGUGAGUGGGAACGACCGCCGUCACGAAGCACUGGGAGCAAGCCGGCUCCUGGGAAGCGACGGCCACUAGGACCGAGCACUUUCACGCCCACGAGUCCGAAGACCUGCCAGUGCCCACCUCAUGGU
rnacentral:ncRNA from 1 species